rnacentral:rRNA from 1 species
GACGCUAAAGCUCGAAAGUGCGGGUAUCGAACAGGAUUAGAUACCCUGGUAGUCCGCACGGUAAACGAUGGAUGCCCGCUGUUGGCGAUACAAUGUCAGCGGCCAAGCGAAAGCGUUAAGCAUCCCACCUGGGGAGUACGCCGGCAACGGUGAAACCCAAAGGAAUUGACGGGGGCCCGCACAAGCGGAGGAACAUGUGGUUUAAUUCGAUGAUACGCGAGGAACCUUACCCGGGCUUGAACUGCCGGCGAACGAUACAGAGAUGUUGAGGCCCUUCGGGGCGCCGGCGGAGGUGCUGCAUGGUUGUCGUCAGCUCGUGCCGUGAGGUGUCGGCUUAAGUGCCAUAACGAGCGCAACCCCUCUCCGUAGUUGCCAUCGGGUGAUGCCGGGCACUCUGCGGACACUGCCACCGUAAGGUGUGAGGAAGGUGGGGAUGACGUCAAAUCAGCAUGGCCCUUACGUCCGGGGCUACACACGUGUUACAAUGGGUGGUACAGAGGGCAGGCGUCCGGCAACGUCCGUCUAAUCCCGAAAGCCAUCCUCAGUUCGGACUGGGGUCUGCAACCCGACCCCACGAAGCUGGAUUCGCUAGUAAUCGCGC